AUUAUCUCUAGUCUUCCUCUUCAAUUAUUUUUCAUUCCUUAGGUUUUCUCCUUUAUAUGUUUUGUCCUUGAUUUUCUUAUGAGCUUUAAGAAAAACAAUUGGGUCUUCCUCUUCAAUUAUUUUAAAUUCAUUCCUUAGGUUUUCUCCUUUGUAUGUUUUCUCCUUGAUUUUCUUAUGAGAUUUAAGAAAAACAAUUGGGUUGAUGAAGUUUGAAAGUUAAAUCACAAUGUGAUUUUUCUUUCCCUAAAAUUCUCUAAUUAUUGCUUAUAUGUUCCUCUUUGUUUCAAUCUUGUUCACUCUGUGUUCCAAUGGCCAUGUUCUUGUUAUGCUUUACUCAUCAAGUAUGACUAAGAAAUGCCUACUACCUGUUUUAGUAAAAUGCAUGAAUAGACUCUUUGAUUUAGUUUUGAAAUGCCUAUAAUGUAUUCGUUUUCUUUCGUGAUCUUACUUUUGAAAUUUCUUGCUAGAAAUGCCUAAUCAAGCUUAUUAAUUGUCUUUACAGUUACAUGUUGAUGAUUCUAUUAUUUCGCUAUGUAGAUAAUAUAUCAAAUUCUAAAGGUCGAGAGACGACAAUUUAACAGAACAAAAGAAAAACAUAAAAGGCCUAACUUUUUCAUUUGCUUUGUCAAUGAGAGAAAUCAUAUCAAAACUUGAUUAAUAGGUUUCAAUGGAUGUUUUCAAUUCUAAUGGAGUUUGAUAGGCUUCGUAUGCUUGGAGGUAAAACUUUUUGUUGGAUCAGGACAUUCUGGUCAUUUCAAUUUGUUGCCAUACUUUCAUCCUAUCUCUAUCUUAUUUUACGUGGUUGUGUGGCUAGAAGAUUUAGUGUGUGUGGCAUCAAUGGGUGCUUCCAAAUAGAUAUCUCUCAUCUAUAAUCACUAUUGAAGAGGAAAACAAUGGUAUUUUGCGUCAUAACUUUUCCUCUUCUAGCUUGUCCAAAUACUGUCGUAAUUUUGGCAAUCGUUGAAAUAAUAGACUAGGACAAGUCAAUUCUCCAUUUCAGUUGAUAAUUUUACUCCUCCUCAUGAAGAAUGCAGGUAUCAAUUUGCUUUUAAGUUAAGUAGAAUUUUCUAUGUUUAAGGAUAAUAUUUCAAUUAUACUUUGUUUAAGGAUAACAUUUCAAUUAUACUUUGCUUUAGCACUAAUAGUUCAACUUUAAGCGUUGUAAAUUUUAUUGGAACAUCCUAUGUUUUUUCCCUCUCUUACUUACUAAUUUUGUCACCAAUGCCUGGACGUGAUUAAUCGUCACGGUUUUGCAUUUUCUAUUGUUUUGUUGUUGGGUUGUCCAACUUAAUAAAAUAGUAAUUUAAAUAAGGGAUAAUGCACAAA